rnacentral:piRNA from 1 species
UGAGGAAGUCAGGGCAGAAUGCUUAGUGG